rnacentral:rRNA from 1 species
CGGAGGAUCCAAGCGUUAUCCGGAAUUACUGGGCGUAAAGAGUUGCGUAGGCGGUCGUGUAAGUUGGUAGUGAAAGCGUGGGGCUCAACCUCAUAUCCAUUAUCAAAACUGCACUGACUAGAGAAUGAGAGAGGUCGCUGGAAUUUCUUGUGUAGGAGUGAAAUCCGUAGAUAUAAGAAGGAACACCGAUGGCGUAGGCAGGCGACUGGCUCAUUUCUGACGCUCAGGCACGAAAGCGUGGGGAGCGACCGGGAUUAGAUACCCCGUUAGUCCACGCCGUAAACGAUGGAUGCUAGCUGUAAGACGUAUCGACCCGUCUUGUAGCGAAGCUAACGCGUUAAGCAUCCCGCCUGUGGAGUACGAGCGUAAGCUUA